CAUCCAAUAAAUCAAGGGAUCAUGGUUGUAUCUUUCAUAUAAAUCUGCUGUAACAUCAUUAGAUCACCCACCGCAUAGCUCUUAAAGCACUCCAAACUCAUCAUUAAUCUGCCUACAUAGAUAUUGGUGGGUGAUAUAAUUGCGGAUGCGUGCAAAGGCCAAGGAUACAACCAUUACCCUAAAGUAUAUGCUUCCCGCUAGAUCGAAAAAAAUUAAAAUAUAAAAUAAAAAAUAAAAAAAUUAUAUGUAUUGCUGAAAGGCUCCGAUGAAAUGUUAAUGUGGUAGGAGUUAGAUGGCAGUUGAAAUCUAUGAUAUUAGAGAAUAUCUACAAAGAAAAUUCAUACUCAUCGAAGAUAUUCCAGUAGAGGAUCCUCCGAUGCUUAAGUUAAUC
rnacentral:lncRNA from 1 species